rnacentral:rRNA from 1 species
AGUGAACGCUGGCGGCGUGCCUAAUACAUGCAAGUCGAACGGAGUGGCGCACGGGUGAGUAAUAUAUAGCUAAUCUGCCCCUUGCUGGAGGACAACAGUUAGAAAUGACUGCUAAUACUCCAUAGCAAGGGAUAAGACUAUAUCGUAUCAGCUAGUCGGUGGGGUAACGGCCUACCGAGGCUAUGACGCGUAACUGGUCUGAGAGGAUGAUCAGUCACGUUGGAAGUGAGACACGGUCCGAACGCCUACCAAAAGCAGCAGUAGGGAGUAUGGCGCAAUGGGGGAAACCCUGACGCAGCAACGCCGCGUGGAGGAUGACACUUUGCGGAGCGGAAACUCCUUUUGUUAGAGAAGCGGUACCUAACGAAUAAGCACCGGCUAACUCCGUGCCAGCAGCCGCGGUAAUAC